AUGACCGACAGCUGAUAAUCAUUAAAAAUGGAAACGGUGCUUGGUGCACAUGGCCGCAUUGGUGACCACUUUGUCUUGGGAAUCUCUACUGAAACUAAGAAACUUUACUGAGUUUGGUUCGAUCAUGUUUCAAGCUCGUGCUAUGAGUGCCAGCAUGGUGUUUGAUGAUUUGUCACGCCGAGAAAUGAGAAAACCGAGUUUAUGAGAUUCUGAUCUUUGCAUUUGAAGAUGACGGGUGGAAUGAAACAUUCACCGAGAUUCUUAAA